ensembl:lncRNA
GUACCUGCAGGUUGAACUGGAGGACAAGCACACCUGAGAAGCUGAAAUCUGCAGCCGGCUCCAGGUAGAGCGGCGUUCAGGUGUGUGAAUCACAGCGACUCUGUUGUUUAGGAGGGAAGGUGACAUCAUCUCUACACCUGAGGCGGCGGAGCUCACACCUCCAGCUCUCCGACAGAUGCACAAUGAGGGACGUCUGCAGCGACUGAGAAAGAGUCUCACCACAUCCUGACAUGAGGAAAAAGACUUUAUUGAAGACUACAAUGAUAAAAACUAUCAGACAGCAGACGGCUGCAUUCAAGGUGAGCUCUGAACAUUUGAUCUGGAACAGGAAUUCAAUAACGGCAGCAUGAGCUUCAUUUCAGUCUGUAGCUGCUGAAUUCAUGGAUGAAUCAUCUGGCACUAGAGAGGAAGACCAUCAAACAUCCACGUCAGCUGAUGGAGGUCCAAGAGUCUCACCCAACAAACAACCAACAGAGUGAAGACCUCCAAUCUGAUUGGACGGCCUCCUAUUCAGCCACAUGUGUGAACAAAUGCCUCUAAGCUGAUUUGUUUUCUAAAAUAAAUCUAGUUUGAGUCCUAAUCUAUGCCUGUGUUUGCUUCUUUACACUGCUGUUAACAGUUUAGGCUGUUAGAUUGUUCCAGAUAAGACAAGUACAAGAUUCUUCAGAGCCGUUCUACCACGAGCCUGACAGGAAGAACUCCAACAGCUACUGAAUGUUCCUGUGGUUCCCUCAAGGCUACAGGAGGAGCCCUACGAGGACGAGCCGGUCCACCUGAUGGCGGCCAGUCGCUGCGGUUCAAAGCCAACACCGACUACGUGGACUUCUACUGGACCACACGGAGGCCUUCAAACCGGACCAACAAGUUCAGCGACUCCCCGACUCGUGGGUCUGAGGACGCCGCCGAGCCUCGGUCCAGCCGGCCUCCUGUCUGUGG